rnacentral:rRNA from 1 species
UACGGAGGGUGCAAGCGUUAUCCGGAUUUACUGGGCGUAAAGCGUGCGCAGGCGGUUUGUUAAGACAGAUGUGAAAUCCCCGGGCUUAACCUGGGAACUGCAUUUGUGACUGGCAAGCUAGAGUAUGGCAGAGGGGGGUAGAAUUCCACGUGUAGCAGUGAAAUGCGUAGAGAUGCGGAGGAACACCGAUGGCGAAGGCAGCCCCCCUGGGCUAACACUGACGCUCAGGCACGAAAGCGUGGGGAGCAAACAGG